rnacentral:lncRNA from 1 species
UUUCCUCUCACAUACACAGACACACAUCGUUCCUCCUAUUCAUACAACUUCAAUCCCUAAGAACUUUUCUUGUUCUCGUUUUCAGGAUCUUGAUAUGCUCUAAACGUAAUGGCUAGAACUUAUUAUUCAUGGCAAUCAACAGUUGUACUCCUUGCUUUUUUUGAUUGUACCAAUUCGAUGCUCCAACCACCAUAAUACCUCUCAAGAACAAACCCUUUUGAAUUACCCUGUUAUUCUUAGCAGCUGGAACAACAUCACUGAUUUCUGCAACAAAGUUUAAAGCUCAUUAGUAACAGUUAUUUUACUAUCCAUAAAGUAGAAACUCAUUGGCACUCAAAUCUGGAAUUUCCAAAUGGGGCAAGUGGAAGAUUUCCUUUGAGUAGAUUACGAGAGAGAUUUAGGGUUCUAAGUUGGUUUAACUAGCCAUUGAAUCAGCCAAAGUACCAACUAAUCUUUUUCGUAAGAGUUCCAAUUUGAUAACGUUACCAGAGAAUUCGAGGUUCAUCCAUCACAGCAAUUGGAAGAAUUCGAGGUCCAUCCAUCAGUGGCGGUUUCCAUUCCGUUAAUGAAACGCUUCAAUACCAUGGAAGCAUUCGAAUUGCAGGUGGAAUUGAGCUGAGCUUCUACUGAAAUCCCGCAAACUAUAACAGUCACACAUAACCCAAAUACAUUCAUCUCCAAGAUUACAACAACAAAAUUUCAAUGAAAUCAAUCUGAACAGAUGAAUUACAUCCCACCACCCAAAGAAAAAGAGUAAUGAAUAUUUGAUUUUUGCAGGGUAGAAAAACUUUAAAGUGUGGGACUUACGGAAUUCAUCGAAGCUAUCCAUCAGAAAGGAGCUGCAAG